rnacentral:lncRNA from 1 species
AGAAGUAAAUCCAUACCUAUUUGUUGUGUAAUUGACUUCCUUUUUUUCUUAUUCCUGUUGUGACUUGUGCGCUAGCAGUACAACCAUGUAAUGUGAAUAAACAUCAGUACAAUCUCAACAUUCAUAUUUGUACCCGGAACAAAAUAUACAUAAUCCCAUGGGUAGACAAGCUAAAGGAAUCUAGUACAUUUUAAGUUCUUGGAAAUUCUGCAUUCACAUAACUUAACGUAUUCUUUUAUCCAUGAAAAGUAUCACAGAUGUCUUGACAUGAUCACUCGAAGAGGAUGCACCUGGUAGGUGAACCAACCUCAAGGGUAGACAGUGAAUUGUAUAAACUCCUGGGACUGCAUCAUCGUGGUUGAGACCUUCCACUGGAAUAAUAUCCUGAUGCAUAUAUAAACAAGAAACCUAUUGACAUUUCGUUAUCAAAUUUUAGGUUUUAUACACUGACAAUGAUACAUCAGUUCAAUUUAACCAACUACCAACAUGUUAUUACUCUAUUUUCCAAAUUACAGAUUAGACUUGCUACGUAGAGUUAUUUGUAAUUGUAGGUCAACUUUAUUAAACAAAUGGAUGUUAUACUUACUUUAGAAUGCAGAAGAUGAUGAUGAACUUUAAGGAGCUCAUCCUUGGGACUAAUGGCAACAAAUAAGAAAUCAACACCGACAAGCUUGAUGUCAGUAUUCUGAAUCAAAUACUCUGCUCCGUCUGAGGUGGAUGCUUCUUAACUAGAAGUGUAAUUUGGGUGUAUUAGUAAUUCAGUUGAUCGAUGGUUUCAACCAAUACUUAUAAGAAAUUAUUAAUCUCAAUAUAAUCCUCCUCUGUUUCAACCAUGUAAGCCUCUUGAUAACGAUCGAAAGAUCUUCUAAUCAUCUUAAAGGGAUAGUUUGUUGAGUGAGAAUAAUAUGAAAUAUUUCUCCAAUUUUGUAAGGAUCGACUUUGUUGAUUGUCUGCAAGAUCUUUCCUUAAAAACCUAUUCAUGGAAUCACAAUCACUCACAUAAACCACAAUAAAAUGAGUAGGCAAGUUACUCAAUGUUUAAUAACACUAAGUAAAGAUCAAAUAGAUAAAAACAAUAUUGGAUAUAUCUGAGAUCUUGAAAAGAACACAAUUAGUAGCUGAAAAUAAUGUAUAAUAAAUUUGAGUGAUUGACACUAACAUAAUGUAUAUUACCUAUUUCAUUUGGGAAGUUCAAGUUCUAUAUAUUUGGGGAAUUCAAUAUCUUGUAUUACUUUUAUUUUAUGCUUUAAAUUCACUGGUUUAUACUUGAAACUUAAAAAUAAAGUUCAAAGGCAACGAAAAUAUAUAAUAAUAUAUCAUCAACAUAAUUUAGUUGGAGAAUUUCUUGCCUAUUUCUUACUUUGCCAAAAUAAAAUGAGCUCAAUUCAACUGGAUAGUUGUGCAGAUACUUGGGCACCUUCUUGUAAUGGUAACAUAGUUACUAGAGACCAAAACAAGAAUGGGAUAUUGUCUUCUUAGAGUACAUCACAAUUGUGGCUGACAAACACAAAUAGCUCUGAAAAUUUGACACACUACUUAGUCUAGUUAUAUGUAAUCCACCACCAAAAAUCUGAUGUGCUCUAAGAUGACAACAUCACAUUCUUGUUUUCGUCUCCAUAACCAUGUUACCAUUCCAAGUAGGUGCCAAGUAUCUACACAACUAUCCAUAAAAACCCAACACAUGCUUUGUGGAGGGGUCACACAAAAUUAAAGUUAAAAGAAAUACUUCUCUUUUUUCCCUUUAUCAAUCCACUCUUCUUCUGUUAUUUUAUCCCCCUGAUGGUGUAGUAGAAUCACCGUUGAUGUUAGAUUUCUCCUUCUUGUGCUUGCCAACUGUUUUCACAUAAAAAUUCACCUCAUUCUUUGACCUGAAUUUACCCUCGGACACUGGUUCAUUAUAGGAUCUAUAAAAAAUUCCUGUAGUGGCUCCAGUGCUACAAAUUUUUGUUUCAAACCUACAAUUCUCUUCCAACCACUUUGGCCUAUCUAGAUUCACUCGACGCAUAGGCGCAAUUUUUCUCUGAAUCUGCAACAUACUCAGAGUUACAUCACACACCUUUCUUUCAUAAAAUACAUGACCUUUGUUUAGUGUGGUUGUCUCUAUCCUAACAUCCAACUUAACAUCAAUGUAGGUUCCUGACGGCAACGAAGGGUCUGAAGGUAUACCAUCAUUGCAGAAGUGGUCGCUAGUAAGAAUUAUCGAAGGGAUGGAAGUGACAGCGAAAUCAGCCUUAGUCAUUAGAGGAAGCUUUGAAAUAGUCAUUGUGGAGAAAAAAUUCUUAAUUUUGAAAAAUUUAUAAUGGACUUUUGCUCCACAUUUACUCUUUCAAAGCUUCCUCCGGUGACUAAGGUCGACGCCGAUGUCUCUUCCAUCCCACCAAUAAUUGUUACCAGCGAUGACUUAUGCAAUGAUGAUACACCAUCGGACUCGUUGUUGCUGUCGGGAAACUACAUUGAUGUUUUGUUGGAUGUUAGGGUAGAGAACACCACACCAAACAAAUGUGAUGUACCUAAUGAAGGAAAAGUGUCUGAUGUAACUCUGAGUAAGUAGCAGAUUCAGAGGAAGAUUACGCAUAUGCAUCAAGUGAAUCUAGAUAGGUCAAAGUGGUUGCCAGAGAAUUGGAGGUUUGGAAUAAAAGUUUGUACCAUAGGAGACACUAUAUAAAUUAUUGAUAGAUACUAUAUUGUGCCGAUACCCGGGGGUAUAUUCAGGUUAAAAAAUGAGGUGGAUUAUUUCAUGAAAAUAGGUAGCAAGCGUAAGAAGGCAAAACAAAUAUUGACGGUGAUGUUGAUACACUAUCUGAGGGGAAAACAGAAGAAGAGCGGCUUGGAAAAGGAUAGAAAUAAAAGUAGUUCUUUUGACUUCGAUUCUACGACUCCGCCUAGAACAUAUGUUGGGUUUUAUGGAUAGUUGUGCAGAUACUUGGCACCUUCUUGUAAUGGUAACAUAGUUCCUAGAGAAGAAAACAAGAAUGGGAUAUUGUCUUCUUAGAGUACAUCGCAUUUGUGGCUGACUACCACAACUAGCUCUGGAAAUUUGACACACUACCUAGUCUAGCUAUAUGUUUUCCACCACCACAAAUUUGAGGUGCUCUGAGAAGGCAACAUCCCAUUCUUGUUUUGGUCUCCAUAAACAUGUAACCAAUACAAGUAGGUGCCAAGUAUUUACACAACUAUCCAUAAAAACUCAACACAUGCUUUGUGGAGGAGGCACACCAAAUCGAAGUUAAAAGAAAUAAUUUUAUUUUUUUCUUUAUCUGUUCACUCUUCUUCUGUUAUUUUAUCCCCCCCCCCGAGGGUGUAGCAGCAUCACCGUUGAUGUUAGAUUAUUCCAUAUUGUGCUUGCCACCUAUUUUAAAGAAAAAAUUCACCUCAUUCUUUGACAUGAAUUUACCCUCGAACACUUGUUCAAUAUGGUUUCUACAAAAAAUUCAUGUAGUGGCUCAAGUGCUACAAAUUUUUGUUUCAAACCUACAAUUCUCUGGCAACAACUUUGGCCUAUCUAGAUUCACCCGACCCAUAGGUGUAAUUUUUCUCUUAAUCUACAACGUACUCAGAGUUACAUCAGACACUUUUAUUUCAUAAAAUACAUCACAUUUGUUUAGUUUGGUUGUCUCUAUCCUAUAUCCAACUUAACAUCAAUGUAGGUUCCUGACGGCAGCAACGAGUCUGAAGGUAUACCAUCAUUGCAGAAGUGGUCGCUAGUAAGAAUUAUCGAAGGAAUGGAAGAGACACUGAAAUCGGCCUUAGACAUUAGAGGAAGCUUUGAAAGAGUCAAUGUGGAGAAAAAGUUCUUAAUUUUGAAAAAUUAAUAAUGGACUUUUGCUCGACAUUGACUCUUUCAAAGCUUCCUCCGGUGACUAAGGUCGACGCCGAUGCCUGUUCCAUCCCACCGAUAAUUGUUACCAGCGACGAAUUAUGCAAUGAUGAUACACCUUCGAACUAGUUCUUGCCGUCGGGAACCUACAUUGAUGUUUUGUUGGAUGUUAGGGUAGAGAACACCACACCAAACAAAGGUGAUGUACAUAAUGAAGGAAAAGUGUCUGAUGUAACUCUGAGAAAGUUGCUGAUUUGGAGGAAGAUUACGCAUAUGCAUCAAGUGAAUCUAGAUAGGUCAAAGUGGUUUCCAUAGAAUUGGAGGUUUGGAAUAAAAGCUCGUAUUACAGGAGCCAAUACAUAAAUUAUUGAUAUAUACUAUAUGGAGCCGAUGCCCUAGGGUAAAUUCAGGUGAAAAAAUGAGGUGGAUUAUAUCCUAAAAAUACGUGGCAACCGUAAGAAGGCCACACAAAUAUUGACGGUGAUGUUGAUACACCAUCUGAGGGGAAAACAGAAGAAGAGCGGCUUGGAAAAGGAAAGAAAUAAAAGUAGUUCUUUUGACUUCGAUUCUACGAUUCCUCCUAGAACAUAUGUUGGGUUUUAUGGAUAGUUGUGCAGAUACUUAGGCACCUUCUUGUAAUGGUAACAUAGUUCCUAGAGACCUAAAAAAGAAUGGGAUAAUGUCUUCUUAGAGUACAUCGCAUUUGUGGCUGACAAACACAAAUAGCUCUGGAAAUUUUACACACUACCUAGUCUAGCUAUAUGUGUUCCACCACCACAAAUUUGAUGUGCUCUGAGACGACAACAUCCCAUUCUUGUUUUGGUCUCCAUAACCAUGUUACCAUUACAAGUAGGUGCCUAUUAUAUACAUAACUAUCCAUAAAAACCCAACACAUGCUCUGUGGAGGUGUCACACAAAUUCGAACUUCAAAGAAAUACUUUUCUUUGUUUCCUUUAUCAAUACACUCUUCUUCUGUUAUUUUAUUUCCCAGAUGGUGCAGCAGCAUCACCGUUGAUGUUAGAUUUUUCCUUCUUAUGCUUGCAAUCUGCUUUCAUGAAAAAAUUCACCUCAUUCUUUGUCCCGAAUUUACCCUCGAGCACUGGUUCGAUAUAGUAUCUAUAAGAAAUUCCCGUAAUGACUUAAGUGCUACAAUGUUUUGUUUCAAACCUCUAAUUCUCUCGCAACCACUUUGGCCUAUCUAGAUUCACCUGACACAUGUUUUGUUGGAUGUUAGGGUAGAGAACACCACACCAAACAAAGGUGAUGUACAUAAUGAAGGAAAAGUUUCUGAUGUAACUCUGAGUAAGUUACAGAUUCAGAGGAAUAUUACGCAUAUGCAUCAGGUGAAUCUAGAUAGGUUAAAGUGGUUGCCAUAGAAUUGGAGGUUUGGAAUAAAAGUUCGUAUUACAGGAGCCAAUACAUAAAUUAUUGAUAGAUACUAUAUGGAGCCGAUGCCCUAGGGUAAAUUCAGGUUAAAAAAUGAGGUGGAUUAUACCCUGAAAAUACGUGGCAACCGUAAGAAGGCCACACAAAUAUUGACGGUGAUGUUGACACACCAUCUGAGGGGAAAACAGAAGAAGAGCGGCUUGUAAAAGUAAAGAAAUAAAAGUAGUUCUUUUGACUUCGAUUCUACGACUCCGCCUAGAACAUAUGUUGGGUUUUAUGGAUAGUUGUGCAGAUACUUGGGCACCUUCUUAUAAUGGUAACAUAGUUCCUAGAGACCUAAAAAAGAAUGGGAUAUUGUCUUCUUAGAGUACAUCGCAUUUGUGGCUGACAAACACAAAUAGCUCUGGAAAUUUUACACACUACCUAGUCUAGCUAUAUGUGUUCCACCACCACAAAUUUGAUGUGCUCUGAGACGACAACAUCCCAUUCUUGUUUUGGUCUCCAUAACCAUGUAACCAUUACAAGUAGGUGACAAGUAUCUACACAACUAUCCAUAAAAACCUAACAUAUGCCCUGUGGAGGAGUCACACAAAAUCGAAGUUAAAAGAAAUACUUUUCUUUUUUUCCUUUCUCAAUCCACUCUUCUUCUGUUAUUUUAUCCCCCUGAUGGUGUAGCACCAUCACCGUUCAUGUUAGAUUUUUCCCUCUUUUGCUUGCCACCUAUUUUCGCGAAAAAAAUUGACCUCAUUCUUUGACCUGAAUUUGCCCUCGAACACUGGUUCAAUAUAAUAUCUAUAAAAAAUUGUUGUAGUGGCUCAAGUGCGACAAAUUUUGUUUCAAACCGCCAAUUCUUUUGCAAUCACUAUGGCUUAUCUAGAUUCACCCGACGCAUAGGACCAAUUUUUCUCUGAAACUGCAAUGUACUCAGAGUUACAUCAGACAUCUUUCUUUCAUAAAAUACAUCACCUUUUUUUAGUGUGGUUGUCUCUAUCCUAACAUCCAACUUAACAUCAAUGUAGGUUCCUGACGGCAACAACAAGUCUGAAGGUAUACCAUCAUAGCAGAAGUGGUCGCUAGUAGGAAUUAUCGAAGGGAUGGAAGAGACAGCGAAAUCGGCCUUAGUCAUUAGAGGAAGCUUUGAAACAGUCAAUGUGGAGAAAAAGUUCUUAAUUUUGAAAAAUUAAUAAUGGAAUUUUGCUCCACAUUGACUCUUUCAAAGCUUCCUCCAGUGACUAAGGUCGACGCCGAUGUCUCUUCCAUCCCACCAAUAAUUGUUACCAGCGAUGACUUAUGCAAUGAUGAUGCACCUUCGGACUCGUUGUUGCCAUCGGGAAUCUACAUUGAUGUUUUGUUCGAUGUUAGGGUAGAGAACACCACACCAAACAAAGGUGAUGUACCUAAUGAAGGAAAAGUGUCUGAUGUAACUCUGAGUAAGUUGCAGAUUCAGAGGAAGAUUCCGCAUAUGCAUCUGGUUAAUCUAGAUAGGUCAAAGUGGUUGCCAGAGAAUUGGAGGUUUGAAAUAAAAUUUCGUACCACAGGAGCCACUACAUAUAUUAUUGAUAGAUACUAUAUUUAGCCGACACUCAAGGGUAAAUUCAGGCUAAAAAAUGAGGAGGAUAAUUUCCUGAAAAUAGGUGGCAAGCUUAAGAAGGCUAAAUACUGACGGGGAUGUUGAUACACCAUGUGAGGGGAAAACAGAAGAAGAGCGGCUUGGAAAAGGAAAGAAACAAAAGUAUUUCUUUUGACUUCGAUUCUACGACUCCGCCUAGAACAUAUGUUGGGUUUUAUGGAUAGUUGUGCAGAUACUUGGGCACUUUCUUGUAAUGGUAACAUAGUUCACAGAGACCCAAAAAGGAAUUGGAUAUUGUCUUCUUAGAGUACAUCGCAUUUUUGUCUAUCAAACACAAAUAUCUCUGGAAAUUUGACACACUACCUAGUCUAGCUAUAUGUGUUCCACCACCAGAAAUCAGAUGUGCUCUGAGACGACAACAUCACAUUCUUGAUUUGUUCUCCAUAACCUUGUUAUCAUUACAUGUAGGUGCCAAGUAUCUACAGAUCUAUCCAUAAAAACCCAACACAUGCUCUGUGGAGGUGUGACAAAAAUUCGGACUUAAAAUAAAUACUUUCCUUUUUUUCUUUUAUCAAUCCACUCUUCUUCUGUUAUUUUAUCCCUCAGAUAGUGUAGCAGCAUCACCGUUGAUGUUAGAUUUUUCAUUCCUAUGCUUGCCACCUGUUUUAAUAAAAAAUUCACCUAAUUCUUUGACUUGAAUUUUCCCUCGAGCACUAGUUCAAUAUAGUAUAUAUAAAAAAUUCAUGUAGUGGCUCAGGUGCUACAAACUUUUGUUUCAAACCUACAAUUAUCUCGCAACCACUUUGGCCUAUCUAGAUUCACCCGACGCAUAGGCCCAAUUUUUCUCUGAAUUUGCAAUGUACUCAAAGUUACAUCACACACCUUUCUUUCAUAAAAUACAUCACCUUUAUUUAGUGUGGUUGUCUCUAUCCUAACAUCCAACUUAACAUCAAGUUAGGUUCCUGACGGCAACAACGGGUCUGAAGGUAUACCAUCAUUGCAGAAGUGGUCGCUAGUAAGAAUUAUCAAAGGGAUGAAAGAGACAGCGAAAUCGGCCUUAGUCAUUAGAGGAAGCUUUGAAAGAGUGAAUGUGGAGAAAAAGUUCUUAAUUUUGAAAAACUAAUAAUGGACUUUUGCUCCACAUUGACUCUUUCAAAGCAGCCUCCGGUGACUAAGGUCGACGCCGAUGUCUCUUCCAUCUCACCAAUAAUUGUUAUCAGCGACGACUUAUGCAAUGAUGAUACACCUUCAACUUGUUGUUGCCGUCGGGAACCUACAUUGAUGUUUUGUUUGAUGUUACGGUAGAGAAUACCACACCAAACAAAGGUGAUGUACCGAAUGAAGGAAAAGUGUCUGAUGUAACUCUGAGUAAGUUACAGAUUCAAAGGAAGAUUACGCAUAUGCAUCAGGUGAAUCUAGAUAGGUCAAAGUGGUUGCUAGAGAAUUGGAGGUUUGGAAUAAAAGUUCGUACCACAGGAGCCACUAUAUAAAUUAUUUAUAGAUACUAUAUUGAGCCGAUGUCCGGGGUUAAAUUCAGGUUAAAAAAUGAGGUGGAUUAUUUCUUGAAAAUUGGUAGCAAGCUUAAGAAGGCUAAAUAAUGACGGUGAUGUUGAUACACCAUCUGAGGGGAAAACAGAAGAAGAGCGGCUUGGAAAAGGAAAGAAAUAAAAGUAGUUCUUUUGACUUUGAUUCUAUGACUCCGCCAAUAACAUAUGUUGGGUUUUAUGGAUAGUUGUGCAGAUACUUGUGCACCUUCUAGUAAUGGCAUCAUAGUUCCUAGAGACCUAAAAAAGAAUGGGAUAUUGUCUUCUUAGACUACAUCGCAUUUGUGGCUGAUAAACACAAAUAGCUCUGGAAAUUUGAAACACUACCUAGUCUAGCUAUAUGUGUUCCACCACCACAAAUCAGAUCUGCUCUGAGACGACAACAGCACAUUCUUGUUUUGGUCUCCAUAACCAUGUCACCAUUACAUGUUGGUGCCAAGUAUAUACACAACUAUCCAUAAAAACCCAACACAUGCUCUGUGGAGGUGUCACACAAAAUCGAAGUUUAAAUAAAUACCUUUCUUUUUACCCUUUAUCAAUCCACUCUUCUUCUAUUAUUUUAUAUCCCCGAUGGUGUAGCAGCAUCACCGUUGAUGUUAGAUUUUUCCUUAUUGUACUUGCCACCUGUUUUCACGAAAAAAUUCAUCUCAUUCUUUGACUUGAAUUUACCCUCGAACACUUGUUCAGUAUAAUAUCUACAAAAAGUUCCUGUAGUGGCUCAAGUGCUACAAACUUUUGUUUCAAACCUCCAAUUCUCUGGCAACCACUUUGGCCUAUCUAGAUUUACCCAACGCAUAGGUGCAAUUUUUCUCUGAAUCUGCAACGUACUCAAAGUUACAUCAGACACCUUUCUUUCAUAAAAUACAUCACAUUUGUUUAGUGUGGUUGUCUCUGUCCUAACAUCCAACUUAACAUCAAUGUAGGUUCCUGACGUUAACAACGGGUCUGAAGGUAUACCAUCAUUGCAGAAUUGGUCGCUAGUAAGAAUUAUCGAAGGGAUGGAAGAGACAGCGAAAUCUGCCUUAGUCAUUAGAGGAAGCUUUGAAAUAGUUAAUGUGGAGAAAAAGUUCUUAAUUUUGAAAAAUUAAUAAUGGACUCCACUUUGACUCUUUCAAAGCCUCCUCCGGUGACUAAGGUCGAUGCCGAUGUCUCUUCCAUCCCGCCAAUAAUUAUUACCAGCGACGACUUAUGCAAUGAUGAUACACCUUCGGACUCAUUGUUGCCAUAUGGAACCUACAUUGAUGUGUUGUUGGAUGUUAGGGUAGAGGACACCACACCAAACAAAGGUGAUGUACCUAAUGAAGGAAAAGUGUUUGAUGUAACUGUGAGUAAGUUGCAGAUUCAGAGGAAGAUUACGCAUACGCAUCAGGUGAAUCUAGAUAGGUCAAUGUGGUUGCCAGAGAAUUGGAGGUUUGGAAUAAUAGUUCAUACCACAGGAGCCACUACAUAAAUUAUUGAUAGACACUCUAUUGAGCCGAUGCCCGGGGGUAAAUUUAGGUAAAAAAAAUUAGGUGGAUUAUUUCCUGAAAAUAGGUGGCAAGCUUAAGAAGGCUAAAUAUUGAUGGGGAUGUUGAUACACCAUCUGAGGGGAAAAGAGAAGAAGAGCGGCUUGGAAAAGGAAAGAAAUAAAAAGUAGUUCUUUUGAUUUCGAUUCUACGACUCCGCCUAGAACAUAUGUUGGGUUUUAUGGAUAGUUGUGCAUAUAUUUGGGCACAUUAUUGUAAUGGUAACAUAGUUCCUAGAGACCCAAAAAUGAAUUGGCUAUUUUUUUCUUCGAGUACAUCGCAUUUGUGGCUAACAAACACAAAUAGCUCUGGAAAUUUGACAGACUACCUAGUCUAGCUAUAUGUAUUCCACCACCAGAAAUCAGAUGUGCUCUGAGAUGACACUAUCAUAUUCUUGUUUUGUUCUCUAUAACCGUGUUACUAUUACAGGUAGGUUCCAAGUAUCUACAUAUCAAUCCAUAAAACCCCAACACAUGCUCUGUGGAGGUGUCACACAAAUUCGAACUUAAAAUAAAUACCUUUCUUUUUUUCCUUUAUCAAUCCACUCUUCUUCUAUUAUUUUAUCCCCCAGAUGGUGUAGCAGCAUCACCGUUGAUGUUAGAUUUUGGAGGAAGAUUACGCAUAUGCAUCAGGUGAAUCUAGAUAGGUCAAAGUGGUUGCCAUAGAAUUGGAGGUUUGGAAUAAAAGUUCGUACCACAGGAGCCACUACAUAAAUUAUUGAUAGAUACCAUAUUGAGCCGAUGCCCAGGGGUAAAUUCAGGUUAAAAAAUGAGGUGGAUUAUUUCCUGAAAAUAGGUGGCAAGCAUAAGAAGGCAAAACAAAUAUUGACGGUGAUGUUGAUACACCAUCUGAGGGGAAAACAGAAGAAGAGCGGCUUGGAAAAGGACAGAAAUAAAAGUCGUUCUUUUGACAUCGAUUCUACGACUCCGCCUAGAACAUAUGUUGGGUUUGAUGGAUAGUUGUGCAGAUACUUCGGCAGAUACUUGGCCACCUUCUUCUAAUGGUAACAUAGUUCCUAGAGACCUAAAAAAGAAUGGGAUAUUGGCUUCUUAGAGUACAUUGGAUUUGUGGCUGAGAAACACAUAUAGCUAAACUAGGAAGUUUGUCAAGUUCCAAUUGAAUUGGUCUCAUUUUAUUUUGGUAUAGAAAGAAAAUAGGAAAAAAAUUCUCCACCUAAACUAUGUUCAUGAUAUAAUAUUAUAUAUUGUCAGUGCCUUUGAACUUUUAUUUUAUGUUUCAAGUAUCAACCAAUAAAUUUAAAAGAACAAAAGAAAAUCAAAAGUAAUACAAUUUAUUGAACUCCUCAAAUAUAAUGAACUUUAACUUCUCAUAUGAAAUAGGAAAAAUACAUUAACUUGCCUACUCAUUUUACUAGUUUUAUUGUGCUUAAUGUGAGCGCUAGUGAUUCAAUGAAUAGUCUUUUAAGGACAGAUCUAGCAGACAAUCCAAGAAGCCGAUCCGUGCAUAAUUGGAGAAAUAUGUCAUAUUAUUCUCACUAAACAAGAGAUCCAUCUAAAUAUGAUUAGAAGAUCUUUUGAUCGUCAUCAAGAGGCUUAGAUGGUGGAAAAAGAGAAGAAUUCUAUACUUAAAAUAAUAAUGUCUUAUAAGUAUUGAUUGAAACCAUCGAUCAACUAAAUUACUAAUGCGCUCAAAUUACACCUCCGGUUAAGAAGUAUAACACGGUCGCUAUCAAACAUAAGGUUGAUUUAGGCACACUUAAUCCAUUUGCAAGCUUUGGUGGAAAUACAUAUGCACCACCUUUUGAUACUUUGUCCUUUUCAUCUAGGCUAGUUCUUGUGUUAAGUGAUAGCUUCUUUGAACAUGUCUUAUUUCUAGUAGAUUCUCCUUUUUAAUUUUAUAAGGGAGAGUCUCUUAUUUAUGAUUCUCUAGAUACUUUGUAUUUGAGAGGAGUCCUCUCUUCUUAGGUGCGUAGUAAUUCUAGGUUCCUCUUCUAGUAUCAAUAAUGAGUUGAUCAUCAUUGGUAAAAUAACCAACUUAUGAACCAAGUCUAAUUAAGCUUCUACUAGUGAUAUAACAAUAUGUGUUGGUACUCGAGUCCUUAUCUUAUUUCUUUGUGCACUUAAUUUUUGAUACAUUGUUGCUCGAAGUAAAACAAAACUUGAGAAUAGCAAAAAUAGUACUCAUCAGGCAGAAGUACUUCUACAAGCAUCCAAGAGAAGUUCAUAGCAUUUGAGGUAUUCUCGACCGACCAAACUACUAAGCAAAUUACUUCCCAACAGAAUAUUAAGAAAACUAAAACCUUAUUUGAUUAAUUCAAAUUCAGUGGCCAAGAGGCAAGAUUCCCAAAAAUAUAUAUGCUUUGUUCAACUUACAAAAGGCUGGCAUAUCAACAAUUCUAACAGGAUGUAAAAAUCACAAAAGUACAAUCUAAAGUUUUCCAUGUAAAAAAGAAUGAUCAUCAUGUGAUUCCACAUUUGGCUAUGAGGCACAUACAAAAGCCUGUGGAGCCUAUCUGACAGAAAAAUUCUGUACAUUUCACUUGGGAAUACUCCUACAUAGUACAGGCACAAAACAUAAGCUUUGUUUGAAUAAUUUCCAGAUUCUACAAAUAUUAAACAGUUUCAGCAUAGCAAUCACAAACAUGUCAUGGAGAAGUCCUAAAUUUCAAUACCAGACAAGGAUAUGAGACCACACUAAUAAAUGAAAACUCAGCAAGUACUUGUUUGUGCACAAUCCUUGUCCAAGCAUUUAAGAACAUAACAUCAAUGCGAUAGUGGAGGAUAGACUCCAGGGUAUUGACUUGGAAAGACAACAAAAGUAUAUAGUUAACUGUAAUUGGCAUGCCAGGGGAGAGUAGGAAAUUCACAUCUUACAAGAAUAUUUACCUGGAGGAUAGGAGUAACCCUAUGGUGGAUAAGGCAAAGGCGGAUAUGCAGGUGAUGACUGAGGUGAAGGAUAAGCAGCCGAUUGAGGGUGAUAAGGAGAUGCUGGAUGAUAUGCUGCUGGAGGGGGUGGGACUGUGGGAUAAGGAGAAGCUGGAUAAAAUGCUGAAGGAGGCGAGGCUGUGGAAUAAGGAGAUGGUGCUGGAUAGCCAGAAGGUGUUGGGUGAGAAGCUACAUGUGGUGUUACAUAUGGAGUGCCUGAUUGAGCAUGACUUGAACCUCAACUACCCCUAAUUCUUCACCCAACUUGAAGCCAACAUGUGACCCAAUUGUGUCUAGUAUGCCUAAAGGUCUAUAAGUCUCUUUGUAGAAAGAGCUGAUCCAUGACUCCGAUUGGACAACCAGAAGUAGACAAUUAAUAGGGAGAAAGUUGAACAAAAAAAUUUUCAACCCUUGUACAGAAUAUAGAUAUCUUAUAAAAGCCUAAGUGCCAUCUGCAUCAGUUGGAACUUAUAGACAGGUCUAUGUUAAUCAAUAAUGAUGAAAUGAAGAACUUUAGUGAUGAAUGUAAGGAAUUACAUCAUAACCAUACGUCCCAGACCUUGGUGUCGCAAAUUGUCAUAUUAAUGUCAAAUGAAAGAGUGGAAGCACAAUGUAGAAGAUUGUCAUAGAUACAAGCAACAAAAGACACAAAUUCAAACUAAGAAGGACCAUAAACACAAUUCUCGCCGCAAAAGAAAGACCAUAGCAAAUUCAUCUAGAAAUGAACUACGUAGCAGUUGUUUUUAUCAAUUUACUGGCCAAGAAGUAUCAUCAAAUCCCUGUGAGAGAACCUUCUAUAGUUGAACCCUAGAAUUAAAUUAAGUAAUUUAAGGAUUAACACUCAACUAACAAACUAAAUAGAUCAUUCAAUCAACUAAGCAACAAUUCCAAAUCAGUAUUGCUAUUGCACAGAACAAUGUUGAUCUCUCGCAACCUUCAAUGAGUGAAAACACAAAUUUCUCUUGAAACGUAGGGUUUUUUACGCCAUCUAGCAGAACCAAAGCAUGAAUCUCAUCAAAAUUCACCAAAAAUGAAAGUAACCCCAUUCAAUUUGUACCUGUACAUGUACGAGUACGGAAUUUAGAAAUCCAUUCGGUAUCCUUCAAUUUAUUACAAGCAACACCUACAAAAAUGAGAAUUCAAAGCAAAUAAUGAAAAGUAAUUCAUAAAAUCUCAGUAUUUUUGCUAUAGUUGAAUGAAGUUCGUACCUGUUACUUCAAGGAGUUGGUCUUGGAUGCCAUAUGGUAUCGACAUGGAAAGUAGAAGAAGACAAGGAUGAGGAGGAAUUUAUGUUUAAAAUUAGCUAUAAAAAAAAAGGGGGUUUUUAUUUUAUAAAGAGAACAAAUCAACCAAUAGGAGGUUUCGUGUUC